rnacentral:rRNA from 1 species
GACGAACGCUGGCGGCGUGCUUAACACAUGCAAGUCGAACGGAAAGGCCCUGCUUUUGUGGGGUGCUCGAGUGGCGAACGGGUGAGUAACACGUGAGUAACCUGCCCUUGACUUUGGGAUAACUUCAGGAAACUGGGGCCAAUACCGGAUAGGAGCUCCUGCUGCAUGGUGGGGGUUGGAAAGUUUCGGCGGUUGGGGAUGGACUCGCGGCUUAUCAGCUCGUUGGUGGGGUAGUGGCUUACCAAGGCUUUGACGGGUAGCCGGCCUGAGAGGGUGACCGGCCACAUUGGGACUGAGGUACGACCCAGACUGCUACGGGAGGCAGCAGUGGGGAAUAUUGCGCAAUGGGCGGAAGCCUGAUGCAGCAACGCCGCGAGCGGGAAGACGGCCUUCGGGUUGUAAACCGCUUUCGCCUGUGACGAAGCGUGAGUGACGGUAAUGGGUAAAGAAGCACCGGCUAACUACGUG